AGGCAUGGUGCAGUUUUACUUCA
rnacentral:siRNA from 1 species